AUACUUACCUGGCAGGGGAGAUACCAUGAUCACGAAGGCGGUUUUCCCAGGGCAAGGCUUAUCCAUUGCACUCCAGAUGAGCUGACCUCUGCGAUUUCCCCAAAUGCGGGAAACUCGACUGCAUAAUUUGUGGUAGUAGGGGACUGUGUUCGCGCUCUCCCCUG
ensembl:snRNA U1 U1 spliceosomal RNA